AGAGUUUGAUCAUGGCUCAGAAUGAACGUUGGCGGCGUGGAUUAGGCAUGCAAGUCGUACGGUAAGCUUCGGCUUAUAGUGGCGAAAGGGAGAGUAACGCGUGGUUACAUGCCCUCGGGACCGGGAUAGCGGCGGGAAACUGCCGGUAAUACCGGAUAAUAUCUUUGGAUCAAAGGUGUGAUUCCGCCCGAGGAUUGGACCGCGUUCUAUUAGCUUGUUGGCGGGGUAAUGGCCCACCAAGGCGACGAUGGAUACCGGGUGUGAGAGCAUGGCCCGGCUCACUGGGACUGAGACACUGCCCAGACACCUACGGGUGGCUGCAGUCGAGAAUCUUCGGCAAUGGGGGCAACCCUGACCGAGCGACGCCGCGUGCGGGACGAAGGCCUUCGGGUUGUAAACCGCUGUCAGUUGGGAGGAAGUGCCGGGGGGUUCUCCCCUCGGUUUGACCGAUCUUCAGAGGAAGGACGGGCUAAGUUCGUGCCAGCAGCCGCGGUAAGACGAACCGUCCAAACGUUAUUCGGUAUCACUGGGCUUAAAGCGUGCGUAGGCGGCCUGGUAGGUGAGGUGUGAAAGCCCACGGCUCAACCGUGGAAUUGCGCUUCAAACCACCAGGCUGGAGGAUGGCAGGGGUGAUGGGAACUGAUGGUGGAGCGGUGAAAUGCGUUGAUAUCAUCAGGAACACCGGUGGCGAAGGCGCAUCACUGGGCCAUUUCUGACGCUGAGGCACGAAAGCUAGGGUAGCGAACGGGAUUAGAUACCCCGGUAGUCCUAGCUGUAAACGAUGAGCACUGGGUUGAGGGGACCUCCACAUCUUCUCGGCCGUAGCGAAAGCGUUAAGUGCUCCGCCUGGGGAGUAUGGCCGCAAGGCUGAAACUCAAAGGAAUUGACGGGGGCUCACACAAGCGGUGGAGGAUGUGGCUUAAUUCGAGGCUACGCGAAGAACCUUAUCCUAGACUUGACAUGCUUAAGAAUCUUCUGGAAACAGAGGAGUGCCCCUCGGGGAGCUUUUGCACAGGUGCUGCAUGGCUGUCGUCAGCUCG
rnacentral:rRNA from 1 species